rnacentral:rRNA from 1 species
GACGAACGCUGGCGGCGUGCUUAACGCAUGCAAGUCGAACGGAAAGGCCUCUUUCGGGGGGUACUCGAGUGGCGAACGGGUGAGUAACACGUGAGUAACCUGCCCUUGACUUUGGGAUAACUUCAGGAAACUGGGGCUAAUACCGGAUAGGAGCUCCUGCUGCAUGGUGGGGGUUGGAAAGUUUCGGCGGUUGGGGAUGGACUCGCGGCUUAUCAGCUUGUUGGUGGGGUAGUGGCUUACCAAGGCUUUGACGGGUAGCCGGCCUGAGAGGGUGACCGGCCACAUUGGGACUGAGAUACGGCCCAGACUCCUACGGGAGGCAGCAGUGGGGAAUAUUGCACAAUGGGUGGAAGCCUGAUGCAGCAACGCCGUGUGCGGGAGGACGGCCUUCGGGUUGUAAACCGCUUUCGCUCAUGACGAAGCUUUGUGUGACGGUAGUGGGUAAAGAAGCACCGGCUAACUACGUG